CUUUCCCACACGCAUAUAUAAAUUGUGCAGGUUGCGAAGGAUGCUUUCCUUCCUUCCCUCCCUGAUGAGCGAUACUUCGAUAUCGCUAGGAGAUUUAAACACAUCAUGUAUUACUCCGUACGUACGUGUGAAGAUGGAUAGCGACGAUGCAUUGGCUCGUGCAUCAAUUAGGCUCCAUCGAGUUUGAUCGUUAAGAUAAAUGUCAUAUUAACCAGCUGUAUGCACUUCACAGUGCAGAGAAAGCGACAUGCAUGCAAGAUCUUCUCAUUGUCUCAAAGCAUAUUCGAUCACAUGUAUCCGCACGCAUUAUUAACGUGGGAUGUGGUUCAAAACCGGAUGCCGCCGCUACACAAGACGGUCGACCAUAUAUAUCAUCUUUAGGCCAAACAUAUAUUAUAUGUGUCCUAGCAAAAACACAUUUUUCUUUUUUGCAAAUUACAAGCUAGCAUGCAUAUGUAACAAAUUCGUUUUCUUAAUAGAUAAAAUUCAUUCGCAUUUGUUUUUCCCAUGUCAUCGUCAUUAAGAUUACAAAACAUUUUAGUGAAUAAAAAAAGGAACCGCUCCUGCCUGCAUGUA